rnacentral:precursor_RNA from 15 species
CCUCUUCCUACCACAUACUCCUUCUGCCUCAUUUGUAUCAGAUGCUUUGUUUGUAUAUUCUAUCAAAAGAGCAUCUUAUACAAAUGUGGUUGUUGGAACAGAAGGUAAAAGGAAUAA